rnacentral:lncRNA from 1 species
CUCGAACUGAUCUCUGCUCGUAGAAGACUCUUCUUCUCAAGAAGAAUCUUGAUCUUGAACACUUUGAUCAAUACCUUGAUCUGAACUACGGGAUCAACUCUUUGAUCAGCAGCCUUCUUCUUUUUCUCCUCAAUCUUCACUCUUGAAGAUAAAAAGCACUACCUCUUGACGUGUGGAAAAGGGGACACCCAACUCUUGGGCAUGAAAGAGAAGAGAGGGAGGAGAGGAGGCA